rnacentral:rRNA from 1 species
AGUCGAGCGCACCUUCGGGUGAGCGGCGGACGGGUUAGUAACGCGUGGGAACAUACCCUUUGGUACGGAAUAGCCUCUGGAAACGGAGAGUAAUACCGUAUGAGCCCUUCGGGGGAAAGAUUUAUCGCCAAAGGAUUGGCCCGCGUUAGAUUAGGUAGUUGGUGGGGUAAUGGCCUACCAAGCCUACGAUCUAUAGCUGGUUUUAGAGGAUGAUCAGCAACACUGGGACUGAGACACGGCCCAGACUCCUACGGGAGGCAGCAGUGGGGAAUCUUGGACAAUGGGGGCAACCCUGAUCCAGCCAUGCCGCGUGAGUGAUGAAGGCCUUAGGGUCGUAAAGCUCUUUCGCCUGUGAAGAUAAUGACGGUAGCAGGUAAAGAAACCCCGGCUAACUCCGUGCCAGCAGCCGCGGUAAUACGGAGGGGGUUAGCGUUGUUCGGAAUUACUGGGCGUAAAGCGCACGUAGGCGGACUGGAAAGUUGGGGGUGAAAUCCCAGGGCUCAACCCUGGAACUGCCUCCAAAACUAUCAGUCUAGAGUUCGAGAGAGGUGAGUGGAAUUCCGAGUGUAGAGGUGAAAUUCGUAGAUAUUCGGAGGAACACCAGUGGCGAAGGCGGCUCACUGGCUCGAUACUGACGCUGAGGUGCGAAAGUGUGGGGAGCAAACAGGAUUA